AGGUUUUCUUAAGUUGUUCACUAAAAUGUUGGAACAAUCCAGAGGAGGUUAGCAGUGUCCCUGUGGAAGGAUGACACACAAAUUUGCAAACACAUUCCAUAAUUUU
ensembl:snRNA U6 U6 spliceosomal RNA